CGAAGUCGGACACUCAACCGAGUGAGCCGCCCAGGCGCCCCUGUUCAAAUAUUCUAAGCCUGCUGAAGUUAUCUUCUGCACAUCCUAACAUCGGAGCUCCUGUUCACGAUGUUCACGGAGCCCUUUUCUGGUGGCUUGUGGCCCGCGGUGGUUGCUGUCCUCUGGUCUUGUCCUUUAGGUUUCCAUGUGGCCGGGACACGCCUGUGGGACUCUCCUGACCCUGUGCUAAGACUACGUUCGUACCGAAGGAUUUUCUUUUGCUUCUGCCACUCGCCCCCGUGGCUCCGUCAGCUCAGAGCUCUUUAGGCGAAUUUCCCAGCUCGAUGCAUCUCAGGACACGCGAAUGCGAAUUCAGACCGCAAAGUUUAUUUGAGGCAGGCGAGGUGGCAUAAAUUCUCCGAGGGGCCUUUUUCUCCUCCCAGUUCUGGCGCAGGCACGGCGGUUCCUAGAAGCUCACCCCCAGCCCCCUGCUGCCCUCUCUGCUGGACGAUGACCCUGCCCUGCCGUGACUACGUGGCCGUCUGUGCUCACUCCCGCCGCUGAGACGAGUGCACCCGGGGACGCCGUGGCGUUGCACGGCGUUAGCACAGGCGGCCCACCCGGGACAGGGUCUCCUUCUUGAGGCUGUCUCCUGGGCAGGAGGGUUCGGACGGCUGCCUCUCUGGCUGCAGGGCUCCUGGUGGUGUGUUGCAAGGAUUCCGGUUUCCGUUCCUCGUCUUGUGUGGCUCCGAGACCCCGUCUAACCUAAUGCAAAUUAAAUGCUAACCGCACACAUGCAGGUUUUCGGCAAAGGCUCAGCUCCCGUGUCCAGGCUCACGUAAGACAGCGCUCCUCAGCCCCACAGGGCACAGCCACAUGCUGUGUUAAUUCCAGUUACAUAUGAGAGGAGGAGACGUGUGAGUUGCCGGGCCGCACAGGGGGACGCCCGUACGCGGCGAGGGGGUCCUCUCCCCCGCUGGGGUGACGGUGGCGGGCAGCUGCUGCGGGGCCAGCCACAGACGGGAGCCGGCCAGAUGCCGAGUCACGGAUGGGGACGGCCCCCGGGUGCGGCAACACCGUUCGUAGAGCCGAGUUGCAGGUGUACAACGUGACGACUGGACACGAGUGACGGGAUCGCUUGUCGGCCGCAGCAAAGCACAGCCUGUCCCUAGCGGUUGCCCAAAAUCCUGGUUACUGAAUUGGGCCGCGUCCUCCUGGCUGUCCAUCCACCACUGUGAUAUUCUCCUCCUGCUUUAUUUUUGGACCCUAGGCAUUUCCCUGUUUCUUGAAAGCUUCUCUAUGGGCUCAAGUUGCUUAAAAAAAAAAACAAAACAAAACCCAGUGAGGCUUUUCACUAUGGAGUCCAUAAUAGCGAUGGAAAAUUAUCUCCAAAGUGAGAUUUUAAAAAGCAGACUUUAAUGCCGUAGGUGUAAUAAAUACAUCGGCGGAGAGAAAAUUAUAAAAAUGUCCCUGAAGAAAGAACGUGAAAAGUUCCAUGGGAACAUGAAGAAACAAAGUUCCCAUAUCCAGGUUUUUCACUGUUUUGUCCUGUGUCAUCGAAGGCCAAUCUGAAAAUACACGGGGUGUGGAUUUAGGAGCAGUAGACAGAAUUAUCGCCAGGGUCUGUGAAGCAGGACGUGAGGGCAGCUUCUGGAAGGUUCCACGCCCUGCAUGCUGAGAGGCAGCUGCUGUCCCCCUCUGGCCACCGCGGAAGGCUGUCACCGCCCUCCUGUGCCCUGGGCACCGUUUCUGCUCACCCCGUGGGCCUCCCCAGGAUGGCUUCCGUCUGUUCACGUCAGCGUCCCCGUGCGGAGGCUGCGAGCCGGCCUGGGAAACCUUCCCUGUCCUCCCUCCCCAGACCCAGGAGGGCGUGCCUUGCUCUCCUUGAUCUCCCCCUGCAAGAGCCAGCAAGACUUUCCUCUGGGGUUCUGAGAGAAGAGAGGCUGGUCCCAGGCCUGUCUGCUCCUGAGCCCCCAGCCCAGCCCCUUGCGGGCUCUCAGCGGGACCAGUUCCCACGGUGGUUUCCUUAAUCUUCGUACUGCUGGCCAUAUUUGGGAUCUGCCUGGGCCAGUGUGGGCAUAUGGGCGGAACAUUCCCUAGCGUGAAUGUACUGGGACCCCAUCAUGUAGGGCCUUCCUGACACGAGUACAUGUUUGUCUGCCCAGCAUCCCUGGCACCUGCUGGAGACACUGUCUUCACCGUUCUGCAGUAAUCCUCAUUGACCCCCCGAUGUCCUCACCCUGCUCGAGAAUGAGCAUCUGUCCAUGGACCUAUAUAAGGUGACAACUGCCUUUCUUGCCAUGUGAAGUGAACGCCUCGAGACCACAGGUAAUGUGGAGGAACACCAAGCUCAGGGAUGGAGAGGAGCUCGGACCACAUCUCUACAGCUGCUGGAUCCAGCCAUGCCUGAAGACUUAUCAGUCGGAAUCGUUAUAUUUACCCUCAACAUCUCUAAGAAAAUACGGGUCAAAGACUAGUGAGGGCCACACCAUGUUUCGUUUAAGAAAUCAUCUACUGGCAAAGAAUUUUUCUCCCCGUAAUACACUUGUUCGUCCCCUCCAUUCAUUCCUUCGCUGCGGGAAAUCAGGCUGACGAAGUUGCAAAGGUCGCAUCGCGCUCAGUAGAAGCUGCACCUGUCUGCCUCCCAUGAAAUGCAAGCCAGAGAGCUGGACGCAGGAUGGACAUCACGGAUGAGAGGGGUCUGGGCCCUGGGCCGGCUGCACGUGUGUGUCCCCUGACGCAGAGAAUACGUCACCCAGGAAUCGGGACGUCCUCCGACUCCCCCUAAAAACUGAGCAAGACGGCGUCACCAUGAUUGACCCCCCGGGAGCACGUGCACAGCCGGCUCCCAACUUCCGAGUGCGUCCGGGUCACUGCGGCCACACCCCUGGUCACCCGCUAUGACGCCCGUUCUCUGGCCAGUCACGCUGAGCGAAUGGCCCGUCUUCCUAGUUGUGUGACUCUGUAGGUGUCUGUGUGACACCUGCCCUCGUUCUGGCUGCACAACACGUUUGCCUUCUUUAUUUUCCUCUGA